rnacentral:rRNA from 1 species
GCCUUCAUGGAGCUGGAAUUGCUAGUAAUGGCAGGUCAGCAUACUGCCGUGAAUACGUUCCCGGGCCUUGUACACACCGCCCGUCACACCAUGAGAGUUGGAAAUACCCGAAGCCUGUGAGCUAACUUAAAGAGGCAGCAGUCGAAGGUAGAGCCAAUGAUUGGGGUGAAGUCGUAACAAGGUAUC